rnacentral:rRNA from 1 species
ACUCCUACGGGAGGCAGCAGUGGGGAAUAUUGGACAAUGGGCGCAAGCCUGAUCCAGCCAUGCCGCGUGAGUGACGAAGGCCUUAGGGUUGUAAAGCUCUUUUGGCGGGGACGAUAAUGACGGUACCCGCAGAAUAAGCCCCGGCUAACUUCGUGCCAGCAGCCGCGGUAAU